CUUAUAGAAACAGCAAGUUCUAUUUAGUGAAAUUUAUUUUUGGAAUGAGUAGGCGUGCCUGUGCCAUUCCAUAAAGUCUAUUUAUUCCUUGGCAAAGCAGUUGAAGCAAUUCUGAAUACUACUGCAAGAUAUGACCCAUACCUAUCACAUAGGUGAGGUAGGAAUUAUUGUUUUACAAAUGUGCUGAUUUGAAUCAUCAAGGCGAAUGAAGAAGUCAUGGUCCUCUGACUAGUACAUCACAGUUCUGCUGUUUCCAGCCUCAGUGUUCUUCAGCCACAAUCCCUCAUGCCUUACGAUAAGGAAUCAGCACAGCUCCUGCUUUCUAGAACUUCUGGGAGAGACGUUCUUCUCAGAUAUCAACGGAAAGUCUUAAAUUUCCAGGAAUGACAUACGUGCUACACAUAUUUUAAUAUAAAAUAAUCAGGAUUUUCUUCUCCAACUACUCUAAAAUGAACAGAUUCAAAAGCAACAUUCUGUGUAAUUUUAAAAAAAACCCUAUGAGCAAGGAUUCUGGGUUGAAAUGGUAAACUGAACACACUUACAAUUUAAUUUUUUCUUUAAAACUGCAAUUAAGGGAUUUAAAAAAAAAGAAGCUGGUAAGGACAUAGAACAAGAGAGUAAGCCGAAUUUUGGACAAUGAAAAUAAGAAGAAUAUAUGUUAUCAGAUCUAAGAAAGCAAACAAGGAAGGGGAGAGCGAAGCCCAAUUUUGGACAAUGAAAAUCAGAAGAAUAUAUGUUAUCACACCCAAGAAAGCAAACAAGGAAGGGGAGAGUGAAGACCAGUUUUGGACACGGUAAGUCAGAUGAUCAUGUGGUAUCAGACACAAGGAAGUAAAACCCUAAGUGUGCAGGGGGUAAAACUGAGAACCAUUCCACUCAGGCCAUGUCCCUGCUUCUAUCACCCUGGCCCGCACUUUAAUCUUUAAUCUUCCUCAUUGCACUCACUACCUGCAAUGUGUUUUACUUGUUCACUUGCUAAUCACGUGUCUCCCAAACAGACUGUUAAUAGAGCAAGGACAUUGGCUGCCUUCGUCACCACUGAGUUGCCAGGACCUAGAGGAAUGCCCAGUACAUUGAAGGUGCUCAACCACGUUCACUGAAUGAACAGUUACCACCACAGGAUACUCAUUCAUAUAUAUAUCUCAGCUUUAUAUGGAACCAGAGUAGAAGCAAAUUCAUCUGCAUGACAGUUUUACCCACCACUUGACUAAUGUUGACAUACAGAAAACGAGCUUGAUAGGAAUUGUGCUCAAAAGAAAAUUAACAGAGAUUCAUUUUCUCAUUCAAACUUACCAAUAUCAUCAUCUGUCCGGUCAACUGGGUCCUUCUCCAGGCAGUCUCUCACAACGUCCCUACUCAUCGGAGGAUCUGACACCCUCUCAAUAUCUUCUUCGUCGUCAUCGUCCUCGGAAUCCACUGCCAUUUCUGGCAACCCACUCAGGUCCAUAUCACCACCUCACUUUCUGUGGCCUUACAACAGACAAGAAAAAUUAAAAACUAUUUUAAGUAAAUCAGUCUUUGGGGCCCCAGAAACAUAAGAAUAAGUCUAGAUCAAAACAAUUUUUUUGUUAUAUUUAUUUUUCUAUAGGUGAGAUGUACUCAACAUCGCACAACUAUUUGUAUACCAGACGCUAUAUAUAUAAUAACCUCAAUAAAAUAUGAAUGAUUUUA